rnacentral:misc_RNA from 1 species
UCCGGUUUGUCACCGGCAGUCUCCUUAGAGUUCCCACCCGAAGUGCUGGCAACUAAGGACAAGGGUUGCGCUCGUUACGGGACUUAACCCAACAUCUCACGACACGAGCUGACGACGGCCAUGCAGCACCUGUCACUCGGUUCCCGAAGGCACUCCCGCAUCUCUGCGGGAUUCCGAGGAUGUCAAAGGCAGGUAAGGUUCUUCGCGUUGCAUCGAAUUAAACCACAUGCUCCACCGCUUGUGCGGGCCCCCGUCAAUUCCUUUGAGUUUUAAUCUUGCGACCGUACUCCCCAGGCGGCACAUUUAACGCGUUAGCUUCGCCACGAACGGGGUCGAAUCCGCUCACAGCAAAUGUGCACCGUUUACGGCUAGGACUAC